AACUCCAACACUUUCUUUUUUGUGGUUUAAAAACCUUUGAUAAAUAGACGAAGACGGACGGUGGAAGGCUAACUACAGCUGUCUUAAUAACAAAGACAAGUAUUGAUCAUAUUUAAAGACUCCAUAGCUGGUAAAGUCUCCUCCUAAUACAACUCCAAAUUCAAGAACUCCCAGGUACCACCUCCAUGAUAAUUCUGUGUUCAAAAACUCUCCACUUCUUCUGGCCCUGCGGCAACAUUUAAAUCUAGCUCUUGUAGCUCGGCCUGUUCACAACUUUUUGUUUCUUCUUUAACUCUUUCCGCCUGCCACUAGUUCUAAUGACAGCAUUCCCACUUUUAUUGUCACUUCCGGUACUGGCAGGGGCAGCCCUGGUGCAUGAUCCUAUACAUAAAUAUUCGCCUCUUUCUUUCUCGUCCAAUGCUUGUAAUUCUUAAUGGAGGUCUUCAAAUGCCUCAAAAACCUCAGCAUGAUC
rnacentral:lncRNA from 1 species